GACUCUGUAGCUCAGUUGGUUAGAGCGCUGCACCGGAAUCGCAGGGCCGUAGGUUCAAUUCCUACCAGUGGACC